rnacentral:rRNA from 1 species
GGUGUAGCGGUGAAAUGCAUAGAUAUCACGCAGAACUCCGAUUGCGAAGGCAGCAUACCGGCGCCCUACUGACGCUGAGGCACGAAAGCGUGGGUAUCGAACAGGAUUAGAUACCCUGGUAGUCCACGCAGUAAACGAUGAAUGCUAACUGUCCGGUGCGAGUGAGCGCUGGGCGGUACAGCGAAAGCGUUAAGCAUUCCACCUGGGGAGUACGCCGGCAACGGUGAAACUCAAAGGAAUUGACGGGGGCCCGCACAAGCGGAGGAACAUGUGGUUUAAUUCGAUGAUACGCGAGGAACCUUACCCGGGCUCAAACGCAGGCUGACGGGUCCCGAAAGGGGCCUUUCUUCGGACAUUCUGCGAGGUGCUGCAUGGUUGUCGUCAGCUCGUGCCGUGAGGUGUCGGCUUAAGUGCCAUAACGAGCGCAACCCCUGUCCACAGUUGCCAGCAGGUAAAGCUGGGGACUCUGUGGAGACUGCCGGCGCAAGCUGCGAGGAAGGCGGGGAUGACGUCAAAUCAGCACGGCCCUUACGUCCGGGGCGACACACGUGUUACAAUGGCAGGUACAGCGGGAAGCCACCCGGCGACGGGGCGCGGAACCCGAAAACCUGUCUCAGUUCGGAUUGGAGUCUGCAACCCGACUCCAUGAAGCUGGAUUCGCUAGUAAUCGCGCAUCAGCCACGGCGCGGUGAAUACGUUCCCGGGCCUUGUACACACCGCCCGUCAAGCCAUGGAAGCCGGGGGUGCCUGAAGUGCGUGACCGCAAGGAGCGCCCCAGGGUAAAACCGGUGACUGGGGCUAAGUCGUAACAAGGUAACCGUAA